rnacentral:rRNA from 1 species
AAACUUAAAUGAAUUGACGGGGACCCGCACAAGCAGCGGAGCGUGUGGUUUAAUUCGUUGCUACACGAAGAACCUUACCUGGGUUUGACAUAUAGGUUGUAGGGAACUGAAAAGGGACCGACCCUUCGGGGAGCCUAUACAGGUGUUGCAUGGCUGUCGUCAGCUCGUGUCGUGAGGUGUCGGGUUAAGUCCCAUAACGAGCGCAACCCUUACCGUUAGUUACCAUCAGGUUAAGCUGGGGACUCUAGCGGGACUGCCACCGUAAGGUGAGAGGAAGUGGGGAUGACGUCAAAUCAGCACGGCCCUUAUGUCCAGGGCUACACACGUGUUACAAUGGCCAGUACAAAGGGCAGCUACCGGGUGACCGGAUGCUAAUCUCUAAAGCUGGUCUCAGUUCGGAUCGAAGUCUGCAACCCGACUUCGUGAAGCUGGAUUCGCUAGUAAUCGCGCAUCAGCCAUGGCGCGGUGAAUACGUUCCCGGGCCUU